rnacentral:snoRNA from 1 species
AAAAAAAGAGCCUCCUCAUGCCACUCUGCAGAAAAGUAGCAUUUGGAAUAUCUAAUGCCUUAGGUAGUUGAGGGAGGAGGGAUUUUUGCAUUCUUUGUGUUCCUUUGGCUGCCUACACAC